AGAGUUUGAUCAUGGCUCAGGACGAACGCUGGCGGCGUGCUUAACACAUGCAAGUCGAACGAUGAAGCCAGCUUGCUGGUGGAUUAGUGGCGAACGGGUGAGUAACACGUGGGUGAUCUGCCCCAAACUUUGGGAUAAGCCUGGGAAACUGGGUCUAAUACCGAAUAUGACCACUGGAUGCAUGUCUGGUGGUGGAAAGCUCCGGCGGUUUGGGAUGGGCCCGCGGCCUAUCAGCUUGUUGGUGGGGUAAUGGCCUACCAAGGCGACGACGGGUAGCCGGCCUGAGAGGGCGACCGGCCACACUGGGACUGAGACACGGCCCAGACUCCUACGGGAGGCAGCAGUGGGGAAUAUUGCACAAUGGGCGCAAGCCUGAUGCAGCGACGCCGCGUGAGGGAUGACGGCCUUCGGGUUGUAAACCUCUUUCACCAGGGACGAAGCGAAAGUGACGGUACCUGGAGAAGAAGCACCGGCCAACUACGUGCCAGCAGCCGCGGUA
rnacentral:rRNA from 1 species